rnacentral:rRNA from 2 species
UUGACCUCGAAUCAGGUAGGAAUACCCGCUGAACUUAAGCAUAUCAAUAAGCGGAGGAAA